rnacentral:misc_RNA from 1 species
AAAAAAAAAAAAAAAAAAAACUCACCAUACUUUUGUACAUUGAAAGCAUAGCCACCGCAUGUAUUAAAUUUGGUUCCCACAUCUUAAAGGAGAAUUCACCGCAUCUCUAUGAAAUGUAGAUAAAGUUGGAGAAGAUUUUCUAAAUUUUUUAAGUGAUGAAUUGCUACCCCAUUCCUAUAAUAAGUCUUGUUGAUUCAUUCAAAGAUUUUGUAAUGAUUCUUUUACCGAUAAUGCAUUCUUUCACAAUGUUUGUGGGCCAACAAUAAGACAUACUACAAUAUUCUCGGUAAAAAUUCA